AUGAAACAACCCCUGCCCUCUGAGACCUUACAACCAAGACGAAGAGAAAAAAGCAAAGUUGAAGGCGAUUGCUUUGGUCUGUUGCUCGGUGGUGAAAUGAAGAUGAAUGUGGCAUUGAGAAGACAGGCAAAGAAAGCACCAAUGUGGUCAGGACCAAGACAGUCAGGAAAUCUGGGCCUCCUUGCAGCAGUGGUGGCUGAGUGGUCCAGUUCUAUUGAGGAAACCCAAAUGGAAACCUCUGUGUGUAGGGAAAUGCUUCUGGGGAAAGGCUGGCUUUCCUGAUUGAAGGGGUCUUCCGGCUGUGAAACAUCUCGCCGCUGUGAGAGAAGGCCAAGACAGCUGCAGCAUGGGAGCCCUGACAUCUGUGAACAACUGAACCAACCCCAGCAAGAGCUAAUAUCUGGAAUUCUUGGAAGGUGAAGAAUUUUCUAGACACCAAAGAAAGCCCUGGUAUAUAUAUAUAUAUUUUAUUGUUUUGAGAUGGAGUCUUGCUCUGUCACCCAUGCUGGAGUACAGUGUCACAAUCUCAGCUCACUGCAACUGCCACCUCCUGGGUUCAAGUGAUUCUUCUGCCUCAGCCUCCCAAGUAUCUGGAAUUACAGGUGUCCACUACCACGCCUGGUUAAUUUUUGUAUUUUUAGUGGAGUGAGGGGUUUCACCAUGUUGGCCAGGCUGGUCUCAAACUCCUGACCUCAAGUGAUCCACCUGCCUUGGCCUCUCGAAGUGCUGGGAUUACAAAUGUGAGCCACUGUGCCCAGCCUCUGACAUCUUUGAGCAGCUGAACCACACCAGCUGUGGUCAACCUCCAGACUCUGUGUAAUUGGAGGAAAUUUAACCUCUGUUUAUGUUCCUAUUAUUGUUUUGUUAUUUUGCAGUUUAACAGAUUAGACCCAAUGGGAUUAUUUUGAGAGUUGGAGCCAUCUGGGAAGCAUGGCUCAACUGGUUUGGGUGGGUGAAGACACAGGGGUUUCCCAACAACCUGAGUCAAGCUCUGUGGAUAUAGCUGGGAGAUUGUGUCAAAGAGGCUGAGGGUUAAUUCCCUGCUUCCACCCUUGGGGAAGAAUGACAUCCAGUCAGGCAUGGGGAACAUUCAUCCUUGGGAAGAAGAAUGACAUCCUUCUUAACUCUGAUUAGGCAGGUUCAACAAACAAGCUUUCUCUAAAAUAAAAUGAUGUUGAUGAUGAUGGUGGUGGUGAUG
rnacentral:lncRNA from 13 species